UGCAGCCCAGUCAAAUUCGGUGCCAGCCCCGCCAUGGCAGGGACCGGCCAGCGGCUGCCACAGUGUCACCUCCGUGCCACAAACCCCGUGUCCCCUGCCCCGGGGCCCGGGGGGUCAAUGCCACCGGAGACACGC
ensembl:snoRNA